GGCGUGGAUUAGGCAUGCAAGUCGAGCGAGAAGUUUACUUCGGUAAAUGGACAGCGGCGAAAGGGACAGUAAUGUGUAGGUACCUACCCCCCGAUCUGGGAUAGCUGCGGGAAACUGCAGGUAAUACCGGAUAAUGUCUUCGGACCAAAGGUGUGAUUCCGUCAGGGGAGGGGCCUGCAUCCUAUUAGCUUGUUGGUGAGGUAAUGGCUCACCAAGGCAACGAUGGGUAGCGGGUGUGAGAGCAUGACCCGCGUCAUUGGGACUGAGACACUGCCCAGACAUCUACGGAUGGCUGCAGUCGAGAAUCUUCGGCAAUGGGCGAAAGCCUGACCGAGCGACGCCGCGUGCGGGAUGAAGGCCCUCGGGUUGUAAACCGCUGUCGUUGGGGAGGAAAUGCAAAAGGGUUAUCCCUUCUGUUUGACCGAUCCAAGGAGGAAGUACGGGCUAAGUUCGUGCCAGCAGCCGCGGUAAGACGAACCGUACGAACGUUAUUCGGAAUUACUGGGCUUAAAGGGUGCGUAGGCUGCACGGAAAGUUGGGUGUGAAAGCCCUCAGCUCAACUGAGGAAUUGCAUCCAAAACUGCCGUGCUUGAGGGAGACAGAGGUGAGCGGAACUCAAGGUGGAGCGGUGAAAUGCGUUGAUAUCUUGAGGAACACCGGUGGCGAAAGCGGCUCACUGGGUCUCUUCUGACGCUGAGGCACGAAAGCUAAGGUAGCAAACGGGAUUAGAUACCCCGGUAGUCUUAGCUGUAAACGAUGAGCACUUGAUUGGAGGGUCCUCCAUAGCCUUCCAGUCGUAGCGAAAGUGUUAAGUGCUCCGCCU
rnacentral:rRNA from 1 species